AUUAACGCUAGCGGCAGGCAUAAUACAUGCAAGUUGAACGGCAGCACAGGUAGCAAUACUGGGUGGCGAGUGGCGCACGGGUGCGUAACACGUAUGCAACCUACCCUAUACAGGCGAAUAACCUUUAGAAAUGAGGGCUAAUACGCCGUAGUAUUACAGAUGGGCAUCUAUUUGUAAUUAAAGAUUUAUCGGUAUAGGAUGGGCAUGCGUCCCAUUAGUUAGUUGGUAAGGUAACGGCUUACCAAGACAAUGA
rnacentral:rRNA from 1 species